AGAGUUUGAUUCUGGCUCAGAACGAACGCUGGCAGCGUGGAUUAGGCAUGCAAGUCGAACGAGAAUCCGCGGUUUCAAUCUUCGGAGAGAACUCGCGGUGGAAAGUGGCGGAAGGGUGAGUAACGCGUGGGUAACCUGCCCCUGAGUUGGGGACAACUCGCCGAAAGGCGGGCUAAUACCGAAUACGGUGCUCCGGCGCAUGUCGGGGAUACCAAAGGUGGGGAUCCUUCGGGACCUGUCGCUCGGGGAGGGACCCGCGUACCAUCAGCUUGUUGGUGGGGUAACGGCCUACCAAGGCUUACGGUUAGCUGGUCUGAGAGGAUGAUCAGCCACACUGGGACUGAGACACUGCCCAGACUCCUACGGGAGGCUGCAGUCGAGGAUCAUUGUCAAUGCGCGGAAGCGUGAACAUGCGACGCUGCGUGGAGGAUGACGGCCUUCGGGUUGUAAACUCCUGUCAUUCGGGAAUAACGGCUCUGCAGUUAAUAGCUGCGGGGUGUGAAGGUACCGGAAGAGGAAGCCACGGCUAACUCUGUGCCAGCAGCCGCGGUAAUACAGAGGUGGCAAGCGUUGUUCGGAUUUACUGGGCGUAAAGGGUGCGUAGGUGGUUUUGUGUGUCGGGCGUGAAAUCCCAUUGCUUAACGGUGGAACUGCGUUCGGAACUGCAAGACUUGAGUGCAGGAGGGGAGAGCGGAAUUCUUGGUGUAGCGGUGAAAUGCGUUGAUAUCAAGAAGAACACCGGUGGCGAAGGCGGCUCUCUGGAAUGUUACUGACACUGAGGCACGAAAGCUGGGGGAGCGAACAGGAUUAGAUACCCUGGUAGUCCCAGCCGUAAACGGUGUGCACUUGGUGUGGGCGGUAUUGACCCCGUCCGUGCCGUAGCUAACGCGUUAAGUGCACCGCCUGGGGAGUACGAUCGCAAGAUUAAAACUCAAAGAAAUUGACGGGGGCCCGCACAAGCGGAGGAGCAUGUGGCUUAAUUCGAUGCAACGCGAAGAACCUUACCAGGGCUUGACAUAUAGCUGCACGCCCGCCGAAAGGUGGGAAGCCUUCGAGGGUGCUAUACAGGUGCUGCAUGGCUGUCGUCAGUUCGUGCCGUGAGGUGUUGGGUUAAGUCCCGCAACGAACGCAACCCUUGUGGUUAGUUGCUACCGCAGGUGAUGAGCCUGCGGGCACUCUAACCAGACUGCCCGUACAAGCGGGAGGAAGGUGGGGAUGACGUCAAGUCAGUAUGGCCCUUACGUCCUGGGCUGCACACGUGCUACAAUGGUCGGUACAGUGGGAAGCAAUGCCGCGAGGUGGAGCAAAUCCUCAAAACCGGCCUCAGUUCGGAUUGGAGUCUGCAACUCGACUCCAUGAAGCUGGAUUCGCUAGUAACGGCGUAUCAGCUACGGCGCCGUGAAUACGUUCCCGGGCCUUGUACACACCGCCCGUCACAUCAUGAAAGCCGUCUGCACCCGAAGUCGCUGAGCCAACCCGCAAGGGAGGCAGGUUCCGAAGGUGUGGGUGGUGAUUGGGAUGAAGUCGUAACAAGGUA
rnacentral:rRNA from 1 species